rfam:Trichomalopsis sarcophagae strain Alberta scaffold1726, whole genome shotgun sequence.
GUAGACGUUAGCUCAGUGGUUAGAGCACACAGGCCUCUGGCUCUUGGGUCCGCGAGUCCAAGUCCCGUCGUCUACU